GGUAUUCUUCUUCCAGAUCCAUUUCCCAUUUUCUUUUUUAAAACUGCUGUGAUUAUGCAUUUUUUGAGCCAAGGAUCGAUCGAAACCGUAAGAUUAAGCUACCUCAACAAUGUAGGGUAAGAUUUACUUUUAUACGACCCUUCCCAAACUCUGCCUGUGCGAUUACACUGGUUAUAUGUUGUUUGCCAUUUGAUGUUUGAUUCUUCCCGAGUAUUCAAAUUUGAUCUUUAAAUGUUCGGUUUGCCCUUUUGUUUUUUCUUUCUUACUUCCAUUUCUUCUGCUCUUAAUGAUUUCUGAUUUGUGCAAAGUAGUUGCUCCGUUUAAAGAAUGAACCAUUUCUAAAUUUGGAAAUAAUUUAGCUUAAACUUACCAUUGUAUCUUUAUUAAGAACCGCACAAAUACUAUGGGUCUACUUUUGAGUUGUUUAGGACCACAAAUUUCAAAAAUCUUUCAUUUUUUCUUAAACUCCGUGCCCAGUCAAACACGUUCACAUGAAUUGGAACGGAGGGAGUAUAAGUUUACUUUUUUUUUAAAAAAGUUAAAGCAAUUUCUGGAAUUGGCUUUUUUUUUCUUUACUUUUUUUGAGUGAUGAGUUUUAUAUUUCCUUAACAGAUAUUCCCAACUAAUUCAAGUUCUUGAUGACCAAAUGGUAAAUACAUUAUCAAGGGAUUGAAAUUUACUGUGUCACUAUUGAUAAUUGAGUUAACUAUGUAAUCCUUAUUUUGCAAGGGCAAUUAUCUUUGAGCAUUGAGUUAUAACAUCCUACUAUUGCAUAGCCCUAGGGAUUUGAUGAAUAAAGAUGCAAACUGGUUCUUAUUGCACUCUUCAUGUUUUUCAAGGGUUGUAUUGGCGCCAUUGACAAGGCAGAGAUCUUAUGGCAAUGUUCCUCAGCCACAUGCUAUCCUUUAUUACUCUCAACGAACCACAAAAGGCGGUCUUCUAAUAGCAGAAGCCACAGGAGUUUCUGACACUGCCCAAGGGUAACCUUAAGUUCCCAUAAUUUUACUAGUUUAUAGUUGCAGUUUAUCCUUGAGUCGUAGCCCAAGGGUAACCUUAGUUCCCAUAAUUUUACUACUUUAGAGUUGCAGUUUAUCCGUGAGCCGAAGGUCUAUCGGAAACAACCUCUCUACCUUCUCAAGGUGGGGGUAAGGUCUGCAUAAAUAUUACUCUCUCGAGAUCCCACUUGUGAGAUUACAUUGGUUUUUCAUUGUUGUUGUUGUAUACUUGCAGUUACUCCCAAGUAAUCAUUCUAAAUACUGCUAUAUGCUUACUGAUUAAAGGUAU
rnacentral:lncRNA from 1 species